ensembl:lncRNA
AUGAUCGUCAGGAUGGGGUGCAUGGUACCAAGCACGCAGGCAUGGCACUGGAGCAGUAGCUAAAAUCUUACAUCUUGAUCCACAGAUCUACAGAGACUCGUCUAGUUGGCUUCUCCCAACCUGCCCUGCCGUGGCCUGACCUUGCAACACAGAUGGAAAGGCUCACCUGUGGCCUAGAGCAGCUGCACCGCCUAGACUGGAAAACUAGAUAAAUAUCACACAUACAGGAGGCCCUGGGGAACAGCCGCCGCAUGAGCAUCGGCGACGGCGAUGUGGUCACAGCUCCAAACGAGAAAACAACACCUGGCGCUUUAAAGAAGAGGGACGACGGGUGAAGAGGCUGUGCCUAGCAGCUUGUCGCUAUUACCGAGGUAAGGUGUCAUGUGACCUGGAGCUGGCCUCCAAUUCUCUGAGUACCCAAGAAGUUCAACCUUGAACUUCUGAUCCCCCUGCCUUCACCUCCCAAGUUCUGGGAAUUUCAGGAUAGCAUCACCUGCCCUUCUAAAAGACAAUUCUCUCUGUGAAAUGCUAUCUGACACCAUGCCACACCCAAAAGCCCAUAUAAAGGCAGAAAAGGAGCCAGGCAUUGUGGUUCCCACCUAUAAUUCCAGGAAUCUGAGAGGUCAAGACAAGUGAGGCUAAAGCAAGAGAAUUGUCCCAAGUCUGAUGAUAGCCUGAGCUAUAUGGUGAAUUCAAGACCAGCCUGGGCAUGGUGGUGCAUGCUAUGUACAGCAAGACCAGCAAGACCCUGUUUCAAAACACCCUCUCCCAGAAACAGAAAACCAGGGAAGGAGAAAAGAAAAUGUCAAUUCAUUUCUGAAACUUCUCACCUUUCCGUCCCCAAGCUAUGACUAGCCCUCUUUGCGAUACAGUCUGCUUUUUAAAAGCCCCCAUAAGCCAGAGAGACAUUUCUCCUCUUGCUUCCUCUGUAGUUUGUAGCCUGGUGACUUUUAUGUCAACUUAAGUGUCUGGGAGGAGGAAACCUCAACUGAGAAAAUGCCUCUGGAAGACCUGCAGGGCAUUUUCUUAAUUAGGGAUUGAUGGGGAGAGGGCCCAGCCCUCUGGGUGGUGCCAUCCCUGGACUGGUGGUCCUCAGUUCUAUAAGAAAGCAGACCAAGAAAGCCAGUAAGCAGCACCCUUCCACAGCUUUUGCAUCAGCUCCUGCCUCCAGGCUCCUGCUCUGUUUGAGUUCCUGUCCUGACUUCCUUUAAUAAAGAAUAGUGUUAUGGAAAUAUAAGUAAAAUAAAUCCUUUCCUCACCAACCUG